UACGAGGGGGGCAAGCGUUGUUCGGAAUUAUUGGGCGUAAAGGGUGCGCAGGCGGCCAUAUGUGUGAGGCGUGAAAGCCCGGGGCUUAACCCCGGAAUUGCACCUCAAACUAUAUGGCUAGAGCAUUGGAGAGGGUAGCGGAAUUCACGGUGUAGCAGUGAAAUGCGCAGAUAUCGGGAGGAACACCGAUUGCGAAGGCAGCUCGCUGGGACGUUACUGACGCUGAGACGCGAAAGCGUGGGGAGCAAACAGG
rnacentral:rRNA from 1 species